rnacentral:rRNA from 1 species
UAAAUACUACCUGAUGACCGAUAGAGGAGCAGUACCGUGAGGGAAAGGUGAAAAGAACCCCGGGAGGGGAGUGAAAUAGUACCUGAAACCUUGUGCUUACAAGCAGUCAGAGCACGUUAAAGUGUGAUGGCGUACCUUUUGUAGAAUGGUCCGGCGAGUUAUAGUCACUGGCGAGGUUAAGUUAUUCAGUAACGGAGCCGAAGGGAAACCGAGUCUUAAUAGGGCGUCGAGUCAGUGGCCAUAGACCUGAAACCGGGUGACCUAUCCAUGAGCAGGCUGAAGGUGAGGUAAAACUCACUGGAGGGCCGAACCCACGUUCGUUGCAAUGACCGGGGAUGACUUGUGGAUAGCGGAGAAAUUCCAAUCGAACUCGGAGAUAGCUGGUUCUCCCCGAAAUAGCUUUAGGGCUAGCGUUGUGUUAGUUUACCGGAGGUAGAGCACUGAAUUGGCUAAGGGGCGAUGAGCUUACUGAACCUUAUCAAACUUCGAAUGCCGGAUAAAUGGUGCACAGCAGUCAGACAGUGUGAGAUAAGUUUCAUUGUCAAGAGGGAAACAGCCCAGACCCACAGCUAAGGUCCCAAAUGAACGCUAAGUGGAAAACGAUGUGGGGUUGCAAAAACAACCAGGAUGUUGGCUUAGAGGCAGCCACUCAUUAAAAGAGUGCGUAAUAGCUCACUGGUCGAGUGACCCUGCGCGGAAAAUAUAACGGGGCUAAGCGUCCAACCGAAGCUUGGGAUGUCUAAGGACAUGGUAGGGGAGCGUCGUGUAUAGGGAGAAGCAUGAGCGAGAGCACAUGUGGACAGUACACGAGUGAGAAUGCCGGAAUGAGUAGCGAGAAUUAUGUGGGAAUCAUAAUGGCCGAAAAUCUAAGGUUUCUUGGGGAAGGUUCGUCCGCCCAAGGUAAGCCGGGAGCUAAGGCGAGGCCGAAAGGCGUAGUCGAUGCACAUACGGUUGAAAUUCCGUAGCCACCUUAUCGUUAAAAGCUGACACAUAGAGAUAGCCGAACCCGGGCGUUGGUUGACCCGGGCGAAAGGGACCGAACUACAGUAGGGAAGUCGGCGAUGCUCUGUGGCGAGAAAAGGCGAAGAUAGGGUGCCCGUACCGCAAACCGACACAGGUAGAUGAGGAGAGAAUCCUAAGGCCAACGGGAGAAGGGUUGUUAAGGAACUCGGCAAAUUGACCCCGUAACUUCGGGAGAAGGGGAGCCUCCUACGGUAGGCCGCAGAGAAUAGGCCCAAGCGACUGUUUACCAAAAACACAGGUCUCUGCUAAAUCGAAAGAUGACGUAUAGGGGCUGACGCCUGCCCGGUGCUGGAAGGUUAAGAGGAGGACUUAGCGCAAGCGAAGGUCUGAAUUUAAGCCCCAGUAAACGGCGGCCGUAACUAUAACGGUCCUAAGGUAGCGAAAUUCCUUGUCAGGUAAGUUCUGACCCGCACGAAUGGCGUAACGAUUUGGGCGCUGUCUCAACAGCCUACCCGGCGAAAUUGUAGUACCGGUGAAGAUGCCGGUUACCCGCAACUAGACGGAAAGACCCCAUGGAGCUUUACUGCAGCUUAAUACUGAGAUUCGGUAAUUCAUGUACAGGAUAGGUGGGAGACUUAGAAACAGGGUCGUCAGGCACUGCGGAGUCACCCUUGGGAUACCACCCUUGGAUUGCUGGGUUUCUAACCUGCGGCCAUGAAUCUGGUCGGGGGACACUGUUAGGCGGGCAGUUUGACUGGGGCGGUCGCCUCCUAAAAAGUAGCGGAGGCGCUCAAAGCUUGGCUCAGCAUGGAUGGAAAUCAUGCAAUGAGUGUAAACGUAUAAGCCAAGUUGACUGCGAGACCGACGGGUCGAGCAGGUACGAAAGUAGGAGUUAGUGAUCCGGUGGUAUGUGAGUGGAAAUGCCAUCGCUCAACGGAUAAAA